UAGGGAAUCUUCCACAAUGGGCGCAAGCCUGAUGGAGCGACGCCGCGUGAGUGAGGAAGGUCUUCGGAUCGUAAAGCUCUGUUGUUAGGGAAGAAGAAGCGCCGUUCGAACAGGGCGGCGCGGUGACGGUACCUAACGAGAAAGCCCCGGCUAACUACGUGCCAGCAGCCGCGGUAAUACGUAGGGGGCGAGCGUUGUCCGGAAUUAUUGGGCGUAAAGGGCGCGCAGGCGGCCCCUUAAGUCAGUUGUGAAAGGUCCCGGCUCAACCGGGGAGCUGCAGCUGAAACUGGGGGGACUUGAGUGCAGGAGAGGAGAGCGGAAUUCUCGGUGUAGCGGUGGAAUGCGUAGAGAUCGGGAGGAACACCAGUGGCGAAGGCGGCCAUCUGGACCAGCACUGACGCUGAGGCACGAAAGCGUGGGGGAGCGAACAGGAUUAGAUACCC
rnacentral:rRNA from 1 species